rnacentral:rRNA from 1 species
UAACUGACGCUGAGGUGCGAAAGCGUGGGUAGCAAACAGGAUUAGAUACCCUGGUAGUCCACGCCGUAAACGAUGAGUGCUAGGUGUCAAGGGGUUUCCGCCCCUUGGUGCUGGAGUUAACGCAUUAAGCACUCCGCCUGGGGAGUACGGCCGCAAGGCUGAAACUCAAAAGAAUUGACGGGGGCCCGCACAAGCGGUGGAGCAUGUGGUUUAAUUCGAAGCAACGCGAAGAACCUUACCAGGUCUUGACAUCCUCUGCUAUCGAUAGAGAUAUCGAGUUCCCUUCGGGGACAGAGUGACAGGUGGUGCAUGGUUGUCGUCAGCUCGUGUCGUGAGAUGUUGGGUUAAGUCCCGUAACGAGCGCAACCCUUGAUCUUAGUUGCCAUCAUUAAGUUGGGCACUCUAAGGUGACUGCCGGUGACAAAUCGGAGGAAGGUGGGGAUGACGUCAAAUCAUCAUGCCCCUUAUGACCUGGGCUACACACGUGCUACAAUGGAUGGAACAGAGGGCAGCGAAACCGCAAGGCGGAGCGAAUCCCACAAAACCAUUCUCAGUUCGGAUUGUAGGCUGCAAUUCGCCUACAUGAAGCAGGAAUCGCUAGUAAUCGCGGAUCAGAAUGCCGCGGUGAAUACGUUCCCGGGCCUUGUACACACCGCCCGUCAAUCAC